UGGGGAAUAUUGGACAAUGGGCGAAAGCCUGAUCCAGCAAUGCCGCGUGAGUGAUGAAGGCCCUAGGGUUGUAAAGCUCUUUUACCCGGGAUGAUAAUGACAGUACCGGGAGAAUAAGCUCCGGCUAACUCCGUGCCAGCAGCCGCGGUAAUACGGAGGGAGCUAGCGUUGUUCGGAAUUACUGGGCGUAAAGCGCGCGUAGGCGGUCCAUCAAGUCAGAGGUGAAAGCCCGGGGCUCAACCCCGGAACUGCCUUUGAAACUGGCGGACUAGAAUCUUGGAGAGGCGAGUGGAAUUCCGAGUGUAGAGGUGAAAUUCGUAGAUAUUCGGAAGAACACCAGUGGCGAAGGCGACUCGCUGGACAAGUAUUGACGCUGAGGUGCGAAAGCGUGGGGAGCAAACAGG
rnacentral:rRNA from 1 species